rnacentral:rRNA from 1 species
GAGUUUGAUCGUGGCUCAGAACGAACGCUGGCGGCAUGCCUAACACAUGCAAGUCGAACGAAGGCUUCGGCCUUAGUGGCGCACGGGUGCGUAACGCGUGGGAAUCUGCCCUUUGCUUCGGAAUAACAGUGGGAAACUACUGCUAAUACCGGAUGAUGUCUUCGGACCAAGGAUUUAUCGGCAAGGGAUGAGCCCGCGUAGGAUUAGGUAGUUGGUGGGGUAAAGGCCUACCAAGCCGACGAUCCUUAGCUGGUCUGAGAGGAUGAUCAGCCACACUGGGACUGAGACACGGCCCAGACUCCUACGGGAGGCAGCAGUGGGGAAUAUUGGACAAUGGGGGGAACCCUGAUCCAGCAAUGCCGCGUGAGUGAUGAAGGCCUUAGGGUUGUAAAGCUCUUUUACCAGGGAUGAUAAUGACAGUACCUGGAGAAUAAGCUCCGGCUAACUCCGUGCCAGCAGCCGCCGCGGUAAU